rnacentral:rRNA from 1 species
UACGGAGGGAGCUAGCGUUGUUCGGAUCUACUGGGCGUAAAGCGCACGUAGGCGGCGCAGCAAGUCAGGGGUGAAAUCCCGGAGCUCAACUCCGGAACUGCCUUUGAAACUGCAGUGCUAGAAUUCUGGAGAGGCGAGUGGAAUUCCGAGUGUAGAGGUGAAAUGCGUAGAUAUCCGGAGGAACACCAGUGGCGAAAGCGGCCACCUGGACUGUACCUGACGCUCAAACGCGAAAGCUAGGGGAGCGAACGGG